UACCGGAUAACAGUAUUUCUCGCAUGAGAGAUAUUUAAAAGUUGGUUAUGCUAACACUAUGAGAUGGCUUUGCGGUGCAUUAGCUAGUUGGUGGGGUAAAGGCCCACCAAGGCGACGAUGCAUAGCCGACCUGAGAGGGUGAUCGGCCACACUGGGACUGAGACACGGCCCAGACUCCUACGGGAGGCAGCAGUAGGGAAUCUUCCGCAAUGGGCGAAAGCCUGACGGAGCAACGCCGCGUGAGUGAAGAAGGAUUUCGGUUCGUAAAGCUCUGUUGUUAGGGAAGAAUGGAUAUGUAGUAACUAUACAUGUAAGAGACGGUACCUAACCAGAAAGCCACGGCUAACUACGUGCCAGCAGCCGCGGUAAUACGUAGGUGGCAAGCGUUGUCCGGAAUUAUUGGGCGUAAAGCGCGCGCAGGUGGUUUAAUAAGUCUGAUGUGAAAGCCCACGGCUCAACCGUGGAGGGUCAUUGGAAACUGUUAAACUUGAGUGCAGGAGAGAAAAGUGGAAUUCCUAGUGUAGCGGUGAAAUGCGUAGAGAUUAGGAGGAACACCAGUGGCGAAGGCGGCUUUUUGGCCUGUAACUGACACUGAGGCGCGAAAGCGUGGGGAGCAAACAGGAUUAGAUAACCUGGUAGUCCACGCCGUAAACGAUGAGUGCUAGGUGUUAGGUCCUUUCCGGGACUUAGUGCCGUA
rnacentral:rRNA from 1 species